UCGAUGUCUAAAUCACUGCCU
rnacentral:siRNA from 1 species